rnacentral:rRNA from 1 species
GACGGAGGAUGCAAGCGUUAUCCGGAAUGAUUGGGCGUAAAGCGUCCGCAGGUGGCAGUUCAAGUCUGCUGUCAAAGACCGGGGCUUAACUUCGGAAAGGCAGUGGAAACUGAACAGCUAGAGUAUGGUAGGGGCAGAGGGAAUUCCUGGUGUAGCGGUGAAAUGCGCAGAUAUCGGGAGGAACACCAAUGGCGAAGGCAGCUCGCUGGGACGUUACUGACGCUGAGACGCGAAAGCGUGGGGAGCAAACAGG